rnacentral:rRNA from 1 species
ACGGCUCAGUAACACGUACUUAACCUAACCUUAAGUCAGGGAUAUGCUCGGGAAACUGAGUUUAAUACCUGAUAAAGGUGCGACCCUGGAAUGAACGCACCUACAAAUUCGUGCUUAAGGAUGGGAGUGCGGCGGAUUAGGUUGUUGGCGGGGUAAUAGCCCACCAAGCCGAUGAUCCGUAAGGGCUCUUAGCGGAGAGGCCCUGAGAGGGAAUCUGAGACACUAUUCCCAGCCCUACGGGGUGCAGCAGUUAGGAAUCUUUUGCAAUGCGCGCAAGCGUGACAAAGCGAGCCAGAGUGCUUCUCAAUGAGAAGCUUUUGCCAAGUCUAAAAAGCUUGGCGAAUAAGGACUGGGCAAGACUAGUGCCAGCCGCCGCGGUAAUACUAGCUGUUCAAGUCGCAGCCAUCUUUAUUGGGUCUAAAAUAUCCGUAGCUUGCUGAAGAAGUUCCUUGUGAAAUCUUGUCUCCCAAGGGCGAGGCGUGCAAGGAAUACUCUUGAGCUUGAGACCGGAAGACGUAGGAAGUACGUUCGGAGUAGCGGUAAAAUGUGUUAAUCCCGGACGGACUCACAAUAGCGAAGGCAUCCUACGAGGACGGUUCUGACAGUUAAGGAUGAAGGCUAGGGGCGCAAAACAGAUUAGAUACCUGUGUAGUCCUAGCAGUAAACACUGCACACUAAACAUCAGUACCUCCCCGGGAGGCAUUGGUGCUGUAGGGAAGCCGAAGAGUGUGCUACCUGGGAAGUAUAGUCGCAAGGCCGAAACUUAAAGGAAUUGGCGGGGGAGCAC